UGGAGAAUUUUGGACAAUGGGCGAAAGCCUGAUCCAGCCAUGCCGCGUGAGUGAAGAAGGCCUUCGGGUUGUAAAGCUCUUUUAGUCGGAAAGAAAGAGUCGCAAUGAAUAAUUGUGAUUUAUGACGGUACCGACAGAAAAAGCACCGGCUAACUACGUGCCAGCAGCCGCGGUAAUACGUAGGGUGCGAGCGUUAAUCGGAAUUACUGGGCGUAAAGGGUGCGCAGGCGGUUUUGCAAGUCAGAUGUGAAAGCCCCGGGCUUAACCUGGGAAUUGCGUUUGAAACUACAAGGCUAGAGUGCAGCAGAGGGGAGUGGAAUUCCAUGUGUAGCAGUGAAAUGCGUAGAGAUGUGGAAGAACACCGAUGGCAAGGCAGCUCCCUGGGUUGACACUGACGCUCAU
rnacentral:rRNA from 1 species